ensembl:lincRNA
AUGGACGAGGGAAGCCUUCAUCUCUGUCCACGUCUCGGAAGGGAUAAAGAACACGGGACCGGCCCCUUCUGCUGUCUGCCAGAGGCCUCUGGGACCUCCGCUCUGAGGGGUACACGCGGGGAUUCAUCCGGCUCAGCACCCACAGCGCUCCGCGCAGCGCUCCGCGCAGCGUCCACCCGCCCAGCGUCCACCCGCCUCCAGAGCCCUCCGUGUGUCUCCCGAGUUCAGGAGCCUCUCGUGCUAUGUGUCCCGUGUCCCCUGCGAGCCUCUGCGUUGUUGCUCGGGUUCCCGGUAUCCGUGACGCCACACGGUACGUGCGUGUCUGCGACUGGCGAGGAAGACCCUCCGGUCCACCCGGUCCUGCAGACGGCAGGCGCCGGGGACUUCGGCUCACGGGUCCCAGGAAUCCCGCCACACCUGAGCCUGCAUCGUGGACCCGCCGCCGUGUCCCAGCGUCCCAGUGUUCUCGGGCGGGACCCCGACCGCCCACCGUGCCGCAGGAUGCAGCGUGGUCCCCCGUGGGUCCCAGGCUUCGCUCGCCACCCCCCGCAGGAGUGGGACGCAAAGACCAGAGACAGGGACAGGAGCCUCGGGCUCGGGGCCGCACAGAGUUGGCGUCUGGGCAGGAGGGAACCCACCUGGCUUGGAUGCGUGCACAGGGGCUUGGAACUCUGAAGGGGCACAGGAGAGGGACCCCUGGGGGUCCUUUCGAAGGCCGAGCUGAGAGACACGCCACACCUCCGGGGCACGGAACGGGUGCAUGGUCACCCCCCAUCACAGACACCCCUUCCCUCAGCACCUGGGCUCUGUCAGGUGGGGUCACCCCUCCCCCACAAACACCCCUCCCUCAGCAUCUGGGCUCUGUCAGGUCGGAGGCACAGUUUGAAGGCAGCUGAGUCCCUAGCAUGACCGCAUCACAUCACCCACAUCCCGUGACAUCACCCUUGGCUCCGUGACCCCUGCCCGUAAAAUCACCCUCAGCGCUGUGACCCUCAGCCCCCAGCACUGUGACCCCCACCCAGUGACCCCCACCCUCUGACCUCGCCCUGGGACAGCCCCCUUAGUCCUGCGACCCCCCAUCCCGUGACGUCUCCCCAGGACCCCACCCCGCGACAUCCCCUUCACCCCGUGACCCUCUGUCCCCAGUGCCCGGACCCCGGCUGCUCUGGGAUAUAGACCCGCGUGCGGGUAAGGGAGCAGGUAACAGGUCUUGGGGUUAAAACGAUCGCCGUGGACACAAGACUCGUCUGUGGCACCAGGUCCCCGGGAUCUUUCCUCUUCGGGGGCUUUUCCUGACCCGCACGCGUUUUCUACCCAGAACACGGAUGCAGAUCCAAGGGGCCCGACGUGGGAACGCUGUCAGCUACUUCUACGGCCAUUCCAGGGAGUCCGCUCUUGUCCGAAUUCCUCGGGUAGCAGCUUCCAAAGCUGUGUCCUGGGAUGUCAGCCCCACAGCACAGGGGCCGCCCUCGCAGGGCCGCGGGGGUUCCAGGAAUCUCCUUCCUGUGUGGCCUCGAUCAUGACCUCCCCACGCGGACGCUGAUGCCCUGUCCUCCCCCCACUGCUCUGGGGGGGCCCGUCCCUCCCGAGUCCUCCUGUGACCUCCCCUUCCCUGGGGUGUGUCUUCUGUCCUCUCCCUCACUGCCCUCCAGGGGUCUGUCCCUGUGUCGUCCCCUGCCGUCCCCUCCUCUCUGGAGUCUGUCCUCUCCCCUCCUCGGCAGGGCUCUGUCCUCUGGGUGGCCCCGUGUCGGCACCCCCAUCUGUGCCCUCUGCCCCGUUCGCCNNNNNNNNNNNNNNNNNNNNNNNNNNNNNNNNNNNNNNNN